rnacentral:rRNA from 1 species
AACCACUUCGGUGGGGAUUAGUGGCGAACGGGUGAGUAACACGUGGGCAAUCUGCCCUGCACUCUGGGACAAGCCCUGGAAACGGGGUCUAAUACCGGAUACUGAUCCUCGCAGGCAUCUGCGAGGUUCGAAAGCUCCGGCGGUGCAGGAUGAGCCCGCGGCCUAUCAGCUAGUUGGUGAGGUAACGGCUCACCAAGGCGACGACGGGUAGCCGGCCUGAGAGGGCGACCGGCCACACUGGGACUGAGACACGGCCCAGACUCCUACGGGAGGCAGCAGUGGGGAAUAUUGCACAAUGGGCGAAAGCCUGAUGCAGCGACGCCGCGUGAGGGAUGACGGCCUUCGGGUUGUAAACCUCUUUCAGCAGGGAAGAAGCGAAAGUGACGGUACCUGCAGAAGAAGCGCCGGCUAACUACGUGCCAGCAGCCGCGGUAAUACGUAGGGCGCAAGCGUUGUCCGGAAUUAUUGGGCGUAAAGAGCUCGUAGGCGGCUUGUCACGUCGGUUGUGAAAGCCCGGGGCUUAACCCCGGGUCUGCAGUCGAUACGGGCAGGCUAGAGUUCGGUAGGGGAGAUCGGAAUUCCUGGUGUAGCGGUGAAAUGCGCAGAUAUCAGGAGGAACACCGGUGGCGAAGGCGGAUCUCUGGGCCGAUACUGACGCUGAGGAGCGAAAGCGUGGGGAGCGAACAGGAUUAGAUACCCUGGUAGUCCACGCCGUAAACGGUGGGCACUAGGUGUGGGCAACAUUCCACGUUGUCCGUGCCGCAGCUAACGCAUUAAGUGCCCCGCCUGGGGAGUACGGCCGCAAGGCUAAAACUCAAAGGAAUUGACGGGGGCCCGCACAAGCGGCGGAGCAUGUGGCUUAAUUCGACGCAACGCGAAGAACCUUACCAAGGCUUGACAUACACCGGAAAACCCUGGAGACAGGGUCCCCCUUGUGGUCGGUGUACAGGUGGUGCAUGGCUGUCGUCAGCUCGUGUCUUGAGAUGUUGGGUUAAGUCCCGCAACGAGCGCAACCCUUGUCCCGUGUUGCCAGCAGGCCCUUGUGGUGCUGGGGACUCACGGGAGACCGCCGGGGUCAACUCGGAGGAAGGUGGGGACGACGUCAAGUCAUCAUGCCCCUUAUGUCUUGGGCUGCACACGUGCUACAAUGGCCGGUACAAUGAGCUGCGAUACCGCGAGGUGGAGCGAAUCUCAAAAAGCCGGUCUCAGUUCGGAUUGGGGUCUGCAACUCGACCCCAUGAAGUCGGAGUCGCUAGUAAUCGCAGAUCAGCAUUGCUGCGGUGAAUACGUUCCCGGGCCUUGUACACACCGCCCGUCACGUCACGAAAGUCGGUAACACCCGAAGCCGGUGGCCCAACCCCUUGUGGGAGGGAGC